UAAAAACUUCGUUUCAUUCGCAGAGGCAUGCAAGAAUAGAAUUUUUAACUUAUAUAGAUACACUUAUUCGAUUGUUGCAGAGAGUGCGCGACGCGUGACGUCUGUUCUACGGUAAAGUGCGUUCUAUAUAUUGCGCGAUUCUGAUAGAUUUCUGACUUGGAAACUAUUUUCGCCAUACGAAAGAUGGAGCUGAAGCUACUGUGCCUUGCCUUGUGUGCGUUCAUAGCGUCCCCGCUGUACGGGCAGAGCCCUUAUCAGCCUAAUAACCAUGAUGUUAUCGCCACAAUUGAUGAUUUCAGAAACAUAUGGAUCAACUGUACGCAGAUAAAUGGCACCGAAAUUACAGUACUAACAGACACUACCCCUUGUUACGU